rnacentral:rRNA from 1 species
GACGAAGGUGGCGAGCGUUGUUCGGAAUCACUGGGCUUAAAGCGCACGUAGGCGGCCCUUCAAGUGCCUUGUGAAAUCCCUCGGCUCAACCGAGGAAUUGCUUGGUAGACUGCUGGGCUUGAGGCAGGUAGGGGCGAGUGGAACUCUUGGUGGAGCGGUGGAAUGCGUAGAUAUCAAGAGGAACGCCGAUGGUGAAGACAACUCGCUGGGCCUGUCCUGACGCUGAGGUGCGAAAGCCAGGGGAG